AUUUUUUAUUGUUAAUGUAACUUAAUUCCUUAAAACCUGGAAUAUUAAUAUAUAUAAUCUAUUAAAAGCUGAAGAUUAAAUAUGUAAUUUUUGCUUUUAGUUUCUUGUGUUAGUAUGCUUAAAGGUAUCAAUACUUUUAUUCUAUAUUCAUUAGAAGAAAGGUAAUAAAUUUAAGUUUCAUUGCUGAAAAAUUUUAAAUGAGUGCCACCCCAUAGCCAUAGUCAUUUUGAUUAAGCAUAAUUUAACUUUCAUUAUAGCAUAAAGAGAAAAUAAUUAUUUUAGUAUGGAAACAGUGAUAGGCAGUGCUGUAAACAAUAUUCUCUGAAAAGUUGUGGGGGUCACAAAGAAAAUUUUAAAGAAUAUAGAAGCUUUUUUAAAAAAUCUUUUUAGUGUAGUUUCUUAGAACAAAUUAUAAACAUAAUCAUUCUGAAUAAUCAAUUUUUAUUUAGUCCUUAACUAUGUAAAACCGUAUCAGUAGAAAAAUGUGCUGGUGUCGUGUCUAAAGAUGGAUAAAUUUCUUUGGAAUUUAUCUUUGGAGACCAACUUUAUGAGGCAGACUUUUUGUCUACAGCUUUGGAACCAAAAAAACUUCACUCUAAUUCAGUCCUAAAGGCUAUUUUACAUUUUGCCGGGGUAAAGUGACUUCAAGAUACAGCAUGGUGUCUUGUAUCUAGUAGAAUAUUGUGCUAGCCAUCUAAAAAAGUGGAUUUGAGCCUUAAUUUGGCCGUUUCUCAAUUGUCUAGUUGACCUUAGACAAUUAGUGUCCAUGGCUUUCCUUUUGUUUUUCCCAUACUGAGGAACUUAAACUACAGCUCUAAAAUGUCUUUUGGUUUUAAAAUUCUGAAUGCUUAUAUACUACUAUUAAAAAUUAAAAAUCCCUCAAAUAGUAGGGCAAUACAGGUAAUAUGAAAUUAAAUGUAUUUUUAUCCAUUAUUUGAUUCCCACCUGUUAUUUUAUUUAGAAUACGAAUACAACCAAGUAGGGAAAAACGUAUCAGUAACUGCUAUUCAACUUAAAUUCAGCGAAUUAAUAGCUGAAUAGAAAUAGCUAAUGACAAUGCAAAAGAGAAAACAAGCCAUAUUGCUAAGAAAAGGAUAGUAAGCUGCUUAGAAAGAACCAGCCUGUGUUGGAAAUAAUUCUCUUCUAGAUAAUUUACCUUAUUUUCUUGGCUUGUACUAAUUGAAUGGAAGUGGUUAAUUUGUUCAGAGUUUAUUGCCGUUUGAUGCCACCCCAGUCUAUAGUUCUGUGUGACUUUCCAUAUUGAAAGAGUAGGGUUAGUAGCCAGGUUGUCAGUCUUUUACAAAUGUCUACAUAAAUGUCUACAUAAAUCUGAAAGUGGUUUAUAUUCAAGGUUAGUUUUUCAGUAGCGUCUCCUCCUUAUUCAUUCACUUUUACUGUGAAGACUGAAAUCCAAAAGCCAGGUUCCCCAAAAAAGUAUUUUUAAAAAAUUUUAGGGGACCAAAAUAAAUAGAGGAAGACCAAUAUAAAAAAAUAUGUUCAACUAUUCCAUUUUAAAUUUAAAGCAGAAAAAAAAAUUGUGCCCCUCAGACCUAAAGGCAGCUUUAAAUGUAUAUAGUUUGGUGAAACAUUUGGGAAAUAUUAAUUUGGAGGUUUAGAAGCAUACGAAAAACAAAUUCAAAGCACUUGAAAGUAAAGACAAUAUCAUGAGGUCGAAAAAACUUCAAAAGGAUAUUAGGUAAGAGAAAAUGUGAAUGAAAGCAGUGAAUUUCUGCCUCUCCUCGUAUUUAGGGUACUUAAAAUUACUAAAAAAUACUGUCUUUUUACCAUACAGCUAGAUGGCCUGUAUUAUUCUUAAUGUGGCCAAAGGAGUGAAGACUGAUUAGGGUUUUAGAAUUUGGAACUGUAGUCACAUAAAGGCAUCUUUUGCAUUUCUUAAACCAGUAAUCUACAUUUUCUCCUGGAAAUGGAGAAAUAUGAAAUGUGCUGUGCAUAGCUUUUGGAAUAGAAAACAAAGUUUUAAAAGAAUGGAUAUGUUUUCUUGCACAACUUGUAAAAUUUUAAUUAAAAAAUUACCUCAUUUUUCAAUCCAUAAGGUGCUUUGCUCAAGUUUGUGGGAUGUUUGUACCAUCCCAUAAAAACCCCCUUCACCCAAACUGUAUUUGAAAUAUGCAAAAUUCAUAACUAAGGGAUAGCAUUCCUUGGAGACUUUGUUUUGUUUUACUCUUGUUUACCAGCUGGGCCAACAUGGUAGAUAUAUGAGAUUCACAUAUGGUUUCAUUAAAGCACAUAGGAAAGUGCUCAGUCAAUAUUUAAUUAGUUUAAUUAGAUAAGGGAAAGGAGAAAUCCUAAAUUUGAUGGAUUCUUUUAUACUGUGAAUAUAUUUCCAUCAGUGUUGGUAAGAUAUCAAAUGACUAUCAGUUGAUCCCAGUCAUCAGUGACUUAUUUGCAUAUUUAAGCCCUAUUCACAAGAGACCAUAAUCAUUUUAAUCUUAUAUUUUCCCUCAGGAAAUUUAGGGACUCUGAAGCCCCUAUUUUAUUCUCUUGGAGUAAACUGUUGAGUGUAGUUACAAAAACUUUUAUUUAUGACUUAAAAAAAGUUUAGCUGCUAUUUCAGUGAAAGUGUAAAAUAAAACGGUCAUGAUUUUUUUCAAUUACAGAAUAGUUACAAAUUUUACCAUGUUCAUCUAUUCCACAGAGCAUGUUAAAAACAACAACAACAAAAACCUAACAGCAAUUACAACCUUGGUGUUGCGUUUAUUCUAAUCAGAGUGAAUGAUUAUAAUCACACUUUGCUAUUUUAACAUAAAUUGGUGCUUUAGAGCAUUAAAGAGGAAGCAGCAGGCCCUGUACUCAGUAUUUAUUAUUUCUUGCCUCAGAAUGCAAAACAACUUUAAAGUGUCUAUAUUCAUAUAUAUGUGCAUUUCUUAAGAUUUAAAUACAAACUGUUGUUACUCCUUAAGCUUCAGGCUUUCUGCGAAAGCUCUAAGAAUAUCUUCAUUACUAUGCUUGGUCAACUGGAAGAUGGUAUUAAUAAGGUCAGAAUUAGGAAUUGGAUUGCUCUGUGGGUCCUCCGGUAUUGUGCAGAGGAAAGAAAAAUGUCUUUCACACCACAAACUGUGUGUCUGAACCCCAGCCAAACAAAUGUGUUCCAUUGGUCCAAUAUAUAAGCAUUAACAACAACAACAAAAAAUUUAAAACAAGUAAAUUAAUGCAUUCACAUGAUCACUUCUUGAAAAUGGUUCAAAGCAUGUUUUCCUGAUGGUGGGAUUGUUUAAAUGACAUGUUUUAAAGUUUUUAAUACUUUAUUAGUUAUGAAGUGCUUCUUUUAUAUGUUAAGUUUAGGUUGCCAGUACUCAUAAUUUUUAUUUCUGCAAUUAUGUUAUAAUGAGUUGUUUGCAUGCCUACUUAACCCAAGUAAAACGAUGCUGUUUGCUCUGGAAUGUUCAUCUUUUAGACAGGUUUUGGCUCAUUUCCAAUCAUGGUGCAAUAUAGUGUAACAUUCAUUUGUUUUCAUUCAACAGUUUUAUUUUUGUCAUAAUAAAUAAUUACUUUUCCAAU
rnacentral:lncRNA from 1 species